UACGGUUGCUUCUUGUGCAAUGUGUACAUGUAACCGUGGUGAAUUAAUUUUGGCCCGCCUUUAUUCGAUAGCACAACCUGUGGAGUUCGUGAUUCUAAAAAGUUUCAUAAAAAUUGUAUAAAAAGUAUUAUUAAAUGAUGGGAGAUUUCAUAUACUUGAACUUGAUUAAUUAUUACAAGUAGAAUGAUAUAGUUUUUCCAGUUUAAGCUUAAGGAUGAAAUUUCACAAUAUUUCACAAAUUAAAUUAAAAUUUUAUAAUUGCCAGCAAGAACAGAUGAUGUUGAUGCUUCUUCCUUGACCUCCGCUUUGUUUUUAUUGGACGCACUUUUCAUACGUUGUGGC